rnacentral:rRNA from 1 species
UACAGAGGUCCCGAGCGUUGUUCGGAUUUAUUGGGCGUAAAGGGCUCGUAGGUGGCCAACUAAGUCAGACGUGAAAUCCCUCAGCUUAACUGGGGAACUGCGUCUGAUACUGGAUGGCUUGAGUUUGGGAGAGGGAUGCGGAAUUCCAGGUGUAGCGGUGAAAUGCGUAGAUAUCUGGAGGAACACCGGUGGCGAAGGCGGCAUCCUGGACCAACACUGACACUGAGGAGCGAAAGCCAGGGGAGCAAACGGG